rnacentral:rRNA from 1 species
AUGGUAGGAUAGAGGCCUACCAUGGUGGUAACGGGUAACGGGGUGUUAGGGCACGACACCGGAGAGGGAGCCUGAGAAACGGCUACCACAUCCAAGGAUGGCAGCAGGCGCGCAAAUUACCCAAUCCCGACACGGGGAGGUAGUGACAAUAAAUAACAAUACGGGGUUCUUUAGGAUCUCGUAAUUGGAAUGAGUACAAUUUAAAUCUCUUAACGAGGAACAAUUGGAGGGCAAGUCUGGUGCCAGCAGCCGCGGUAAUUCCAGCUCCAAUAGCGUAUAUNAAAGUUGUUGCAGUUAAAAAGUUCGUAGUUGAAUUUCGGGGUCAGUAGGUCGGUCGUGCCACUGGUAUGAACUGGUUUUACUGAUUCCUCCCUCUUGAAGAACUGUAAUGCCAUUAAUUUGGUGUUGCAGGGAAUCAGGACUGUUACUUUGAAAAAAUUAGAGUGUUUAAAGCAGGCUUUAGCUUGAAUACAUUAGCAUGGAAUAAUGAAAUAGGACGUUUGAUCCUAUUUUGUUGGUUCCUAGGAUUGACGUAAUGAUUAAUAGGGAUAGUUGGGGGCAUUAGUAUUCAAUUGUCAGAGGUGAAAUUCUUGGAUUUAUUGAAGACUAACUACUGCGAAAGCAUUUGCCAAGGAUGUUUUCAUUAAUCAAGAACGAAAGUUAGGGGAUCGAAGACGAUCAGAUACCGUCGUAGUCUUAACCAUAAACUAUGCCGACUAGGGAUCGGAUGAUGUUAAUUUUUUAAUGACUCAUUCGGCGCCUUACGGGAAACCAAAGUGUUUGGG